AUUGAACGCUGGCGGCAGGCCUAACACAUGCAAGUCGAGCGGAUGAAGGGAGCUUGCUCCUGGAUUCAGCGGCGGACGGGUGAGUAAUGCCUAGGAAUCUGCCUGGUAGUGGGGGAUAACGUCCGGAAACGGGCGCUAAUACCGCAUACGUCCUGAGGGAGAAAGUGGGGGAUCUUCGGACCUCACGCUAUCAGAUGAGCCUAGGUCGGAUUAGCUAGUUGGUGGGGUAAAGGCCUACCAAGGCGACGAUCCGUAACUGGUCUGAGAGGAUGAUCAGUCACACUAUAACUGAGACACGUUCCAGACUCCGACGGGAGGCAGCAGUGGGGAAUAUUUGACAAUGGGCGAAAGCCUGAUCCAGCCAUGCCGCGUGUGUGAAGAAGGUCUUCGGAUUGUAAAGCACUUGAAGUUGGGAGGAAGGGCAGUAAGUUAAUACCUUGCUGUUUUGACGUGACCAACAGAAUAAGCACCGGCUAACUUCGUG
rnacentral:rRNA from 1 species